rnacentral:rRNA from 1 species
UACGGGGGGAGCAAGCGUUGUUCGGAUUUACUGGGCGUAAAGGGCGCGUAGGCGGCGCAACAAGUCACUUGUGAAAUCUCCGGGCUUAACUCGGAGCGGCCAAGUGAUACUGUCGUGCUAGAGUGCGGAAGGGGCUACUGGAAUUCUCGGUGUAGCGGUGAAAUGCGUAGAGAUCAUGAGGAAGACCAGUGGCGAAGGCGGGUCUCUGGACAGUUCCUGACACUGAGACACGAAGGCCAGGGGAGCAAACGGG